GCUCCGCCGACGUCAGCAGCACCAUCAGCAUCCCUUCGGUGUCUAGGACAUUAUCAUCGUGGUCUGGUGGUGGUGGGUGCCACCACCGGCAGGACGCGGAAGAGAAAGUCCGGAAGAGCGUCGCUGAGAGCAGCGCUUGCGCAGUGCUUUUUUUGGAGAGAAAUUCUCGGCCAAAGGGUGCAGUCACCGCAAUUCACCCUCUUUUUUGCCACCGGAGACUUUGCUCACGUUGUGCCCCCUUUCUCUUGGAGAAAUGGUAGACUUUUUAGGGCGCCUGAGUGGCGCCAGUCGGCCGAAAAGUAUCUGAAUCCUGCGCACCACCAGCCGGAAAAUUUGCGUGGUGGCGGUGGCUCAGAGCGGCCAGCAAUCACUGCGUAAUCCGAUAUGAAAGUACACUGCGCGACAGGAAAACAGGUUCACAGUUCAGAGCGGUGGGUAGUAUGGGGUUAGCUUUUGCUCUCUUAGAGUAGGGAUACCUAUUUUCACUAACUAUUAAUAAUAAAUAAUCUGUUAGUGCAUCAAAUUCGGCUUUUACAUAGAUUAGAUAUACUACAGGUGUAUUAUAACUAGUUUUUGGAUGUUCACAAAAAGCAAAAUGAACUUUUUAUGGGGGUGAAGUCACAAGUGUUUAACGUUUCUGCUAGCAUUAAAUGUCAUGGUUCAGUUUUAGUUUUUUAACAAUUGUCUUUGUCAAAAGCACAACAAAAAGCAUCAUCUUUCAACCCUAGUGAAUAUUGUAACACGAUACGGCCCAUUAAUUCAAUUAACUUUAUGUGCUCGUAUGUGCCAAACAAGAGAAAUCCUCCAAAGAAAGGACAUAAGGAUUUCGGGUAAGAAAAGAAAAGCUGUCAUAGUCACGUUAAGAUGGAUUUCGCUUGGUAAAAGAGCAAACAAGAAAAUGCACGGAAUCAAUAAUGUAUUACAAUGGACCGCUUAUUUAAACGGUUUCAAAUUCCCCAGCAACUUAUUGCCUUCCGACAAACAUUUCCUUAUGGCACUAGGCAGUUGCAAUUUACAGACAGGUAAUAAAACAUAAUAACCAUGGAAAUAUUCGGUAAUUUUAGUACAAACUAAGCGGCAAAUUUGGCCUGCGGUUGCCACGAAUUUUCACAGUGGGCGCUUGGGAAAUGCCGAUUCCCCCCACUCCGCCAGCAUCCACACCCACUUUCGUGGUUCCUCCUCCACAGCUGGCCAUCGAGCGAUACCAUCCGAAUGCAAAUGGAACCCAUGCAAGGAGUCGGAGGUGGAGGCGGAGUCGAAGCCUCUCACUAAUUGGCAACCACUUUCCAUCCAGAAGUCACACUGAGCUGCUAAUGGAUGUAAUUUACUGCCGGCAACGUUUUUCUACAAGCACAUCUAAUUAAUUUACUGUGGAUAUGGAUAGCAAGGCAACUUGUGGAGUUUAAUAUACAGGGAAACAAGCUAAGCGAAACUAGAGUUUAGCUCAUAGAAACAUUCAGUUUCAUAUAGGUUUAACUUUUAGGUCUUCAAACUUUAGUCAUCUUUACUAGACGGAACUACCCAUUUAACACCUUGUAUUACAAGGGUUUUGGGACCGCUGACAUGUCACUACUACACACACAGGACGACUGCUUAUCCUUGCUGAAGGAUCUGCCCCGCUGGCUGAGGCAGCAAUUAAGCAGGCAUUAAACAUGUAAACUGCUUGCAACGCCCCAGAGAUCAAGGAUUGCACAAGGAUGAGCUGGAGGAUUCGAGACGAGGAUGCCGAGCAGGGAGAUGGAACCCCUCACCUUGUGGGGGUUGGCUGUCCAAUUCCGUUUCCAAUUCGCUGACUUGUCGCACCCAGUCAAAAAGCGGAGGACGAUAAACGGCGCUGAUAGCACAGCAUUUAUCAAGGAGCACGGAACAGGCUCAAUUGAGUUUCAAAUUGAUGUCACCAUUAUCGGGAGCUGUCAUCUAAGGAUCUGGUUGGGGUGACUAGAACAUGAGGGAUGAGCUGAAUCGCAAGAAAAAAACAUAUAUAACAACAAGGAGGUGGGGCCGAGAUGUAUGCCGUAUUUAUUUAUAAUUUUUUCAUCAUUUAUCAGCGGGACUACAUUCUCACAAUGCCGCAAUUGCAUAUUUAUGUAGAUGUGCACUGUGCACUGUGCAAUUUCAGUUUGCGCUUCGAUUUAAGUGCUCAUAAAUAAAAAUCCACGCAAAAAUCCACCCCGGAAAAA